UCAAAACAGCGGCCUUCGGGCCUCGCUGCACCCUUGUCUUUUGCGCACCGUAUUGUUUCCUCGGCGGGCUUGCCUGCCGGUUGGACAUCAUAAAACCUCUUGUAGUUGCAAUCAGCGUCAGAAAAACAAUAAUUAUUA
rnacentral:misc_RNA from 1 species